rnacentral:lncRNA from 1 species
GAGCAGCCCUAAAGCUCCGUGCCUCUGGCUGCUCCCCACUCCUGCCGCACACCGCUGGAGCCAGCCUGGGCAGUGGACAGCAGCGGUCACUGCGACAUCCUGUAAUAACACUUCAAAAAACAAACAAAAAACCAAUUGUUCAGCUUUCAUUACUUCAUAAAUAAAAAUUAAUUUAUAUUUAAUGUCCGGUGGCAGCAUGAAUUGCUGUUAAUUCGUUUCACAGCGUUUGAGUCCUAGACAAAAACUAGGCUGCUCCCCUCUCCUGUCUGACAUUUUCCUUUUAAACAUGAAAUGUUUUUCCUUUCAUAUCUUGCAUAAGAUAAUUGUUUGUGCAUUAAAUGGCUUAGAUAUAUGUAAAUAGGUGAUAGAGUAGUUAUUUUUGGUGGGCUUAAAGAGAUUUUUAUCUGCAUCUAUGAAUGUUGAUUACUAUUGCUUUUACUUACAUUAAUUAAGGGAUGCAAUCACAGAAAUAUUUUGUUUUCAUUGAAAUGGACUGAGCUGACAAAUAGCUACAAAGCUGAAACUUAAUUGUGCAGAUUCCUGUAAGUUCUGUAGGUUGAUUUGUUUUUCCUUACAUAAAAACUUUGAGAAAAAUUUCCUCUGUUUUUUCAGUUACAGGUCUUCAAAGUUACUCUCAAAUUUGGUUUUAGGCACCUUCAAUUAAGCUUGCUAACAUUAAUUUUAACAGUGUUAAGGCAUGCUUGAGAAAUAGAUGGGCUUUGGUUUGUAACAUUAUGUACUUGAUGCUGAAAGAAAUAACAUCCUUCUGUAACGAUGCAUAAUCAGGCAGGUUUUUAGCUCUGGAACUACAAAGAUUUGAAUUCAGAAAGCAGAUACACAGGACUGUUUGCUUACUGUCUUGGUCAAAACCCAGUUUCAGUUUGCAAGCAUGUCCACAUCUGCAAAAACGUGUACUGAACCAAAUGUGGAAGACUGAAGCACUUCAUGAGAGCAAUUUCUCAUUAGACUCCAAGAACUCACUGUCCAGGUCCAGUGGCUGCAAUAGUUUUUAUAGGCUUCUGACUUUUUAAACAGUCAUAAGAACAGGACAUACUGGAUUUUUUUUCUUCUUUGCCAUCUUAAAAGCUGCACUUGCAGGGAUAGGACAUGUACCUAACAGAAGCGGCUUGUACAUGAGGUUGCUUAAGGGAUUAUCACCCUGUUCAAAUUUCUGAAGGUAAGAUAUUGUUUAUUUUACUUACUAAAAUGUACAACACUGAAUUUCCAUAGCUUUGGCUCUUGGAAGUUGAUUAAAUAAAAUGUUGUAUAUAUUCCAAGUGGCAUCCUACUAGAAAGAAUGAAUGACAUUAAUGGACAAGUUUAAAACAAAUUUUAAAAGGAAACCAUUGUGCUGAGUGGCAGGAAAAUUUUCCUGAAUGUUAAAUACUGUUGAGUGCAGAAGGUGUCUGUAAAAUUACUUCCGCUUAAAGGAAAAGA